GGGGCCUCCAUAAAGAAAGGUCUGUAUACAGACACACACAUACAUCCAUCUAACUACAGCAGUGCUCAGUUUCUACCUAUGGGUAGAAGGCAGGGCAGGGCGGCACCAGUAAC